GACUCCGUGGCGCAACGGGAGCGCGUCCGACUCCAGAUCGGAAGGUGCGUGUUCAAACAUGUCGGCGUCA
rnacentral:tRNA from 1 species